UACGGAGGGGGCGAGCGUUAUUCGGAAUUAUUGGGCGUAAAGGGCGCGUAGGCGGCUCGAUAAGUCAAAGGUGAAAUCCCUCGGCUCAACUGAGGAACUGCCUUUGAAACUGUCGAGCUUGAGUCCGGGAGGGGGUAGCGGAAUUCCCAGUGUAGCGGUGAAAUGCGUAGAUAUUGGGAGGAACACCAGUGGCGAAGGCGGCUACCUGGACCGGAACUGACGCUGAGGCGCGAAAGCGUGGGUAGCAAACAGG
rnacentral:rRNA from 1 species